rnacentral:rRNA from 1 species
UACGUAGGGUCCGAGCGUUGUCCGGAAUUACUGGGCGUAAAGAGCUCGUAGGUGGUUUGUCGCGUUGUUCGUGAAAACUCACAGCUCAACUGUGGGCGUGCGGGCGAUACGGGCAGACUUGAGUACUGCAGGGGAGACUGGAAUUCCUGGUGUAGCGGUGGAAUGCGCAGAUAUCAGGAGGAACACCGGUGGCGAAGGCGGUUCUCUGGGCAUGAUCUGACGCUGAGGAGCGAAAGCGUGGGGAGCAAACAGG